rnacentral:rRNA from 1 species
AUAAGGGCACAUGGUGAAUGCCUUGGCAAUAGAAGUCGAUGAAGGACGUGGUUAACUACGAUAUGCCUCGGGGAGCUGUACACAAGCUUUGAUCCGGGGAUCUCCGAAUGAGGAAACUCACUUGCAGUAAUAUGCAAGUACCCUAGAGUGAAUAAAUAGCUCUAGAGGAGGCAACUCUGGGAAUUGAAACAUCUUAGUACCAGAAGGAAGAGAAAGAAAAAUCGAUUACCUUAGUAGUGGCGAGCGAAAAGGUAACAGCCUAAACCAGUCUUAGGACUGGGGUUGUAGGACACUAAGCACGGAGUUACAAAAUUACUUGGUAGCAGAACAGUCUGGAAAGACUGACAAGAUAGGGUGAUAGUCCCGUAUGCGAAACCUAGUAAUCUCCUUAGUGUAUCCUGAGUACGGCGAGACACGUGAAAUCUUGUCGGAAUCCGCGGGGACCAUCCCGCAAGGCUAAAUACUCUCUAUUGACCGAUAGUGAACAAGUACCGUGAGGGAAAGGUGAAAAGAACCCCGGAAGGGGAGUGAAAUAGAAUACUGAAACCAUGUUGCUUACAAGAAGUUCGAGCCCGUUAAUGGGUGAGAGCGUGCCUUUUGCAGAAUGAGCCGGCGAGUUAUGAUAUAGUGCAAGGUUAAGCGGAAUACGCGGAGCCAAAGCGAAAGCGAGUCUUAAUAGGGCGUUUUAGUACUAUGUUGUAGACCCGAAACCGAGUGAUCUAGCCAUGAGCAGGUUGAAGUAAGGGUGAUACCUUAUGGAGGACCGAACCAUUAGACGUUGUAAAGUCUUUGGAUGACUUGUGGUUAGCGGUGAAAUUCCAAUCGAACUCGGAGAUAGCUGGUUCUCCCCGAAAUAGGUUUAGGCCUAGCCUUUUACGAUGCUACUUGGAGGUAGAGCACUGAAUGUGGAAUGGCCCCGUCUUGGGGUACUGACCACAAUUAAACUCCGAAUGCCAAGUAUGUUAGUAAGGGAGUCAGUGUAUGGGUGAUAAGUCCAUGCGCGAGAGAAAAAGAAUUCAGACCGUCAGAUAAGGUCCCAAAAUAUAUGUUAAGUGAUGAAGGAUGUAGGAUCGCACGAACAGCUAGGAGGUUGGCUUAGAAGCAGCUACCCUUUAAAGAGUGCGUAAUAGCUCACUAGUCGAGUGGUCCUGCGCCGAAGAUGUACCGGGGCUAAACAUAUUACCGAAGCUGCGGAUUUAUACUUUUAGUAUAAGUGGUAGGGGAGCGUUCUAACUGCACUGAAGAUAGACCGUGAGGACUAUUGGAGCGCUUAGAAGUGAGAAUGCCGGCGUGAGUAACGUAAGGAAGGUGAGAAUCCUUCCCACCGAUUGACCAAGGUUUCCAGGGUAAAGUUCGUCUUCCCUGGGUUAGUCAGGACCUAAGGCGAGGCCGAAAGGCGUAGUCGAUGGACGACAGGUUAAUAUUCCUGUACUAUGUAUAUGACUGAUGGAGUGACGGAGAAAGCUAAGAAGGGCCAAUUAUUGGAUUUUGGUCUAAGCGAUUAGGUUGAUGCGCUAGAAAAUCUGCGACAUCGUUAAAACUGAAACGUGAUGGCGAAAGUUCCUACGGGAACUGAAGUCUUCUGACGCUACGCUUCCAAGAAAAACUUCUAAAGAUAUCAUAUAUGUACCUGUACCUCAGAACCAACACAGGUGGUCAAGAAGAGAAUUCUAAGGUGAGCGAGAGAACUAUGGUUAAGGAACUCGGCAAAAUUACCCCGUAACUUCGGAAUAAGGGGAGGUUUCCUAUGGAAACCCGCAGUGAAUAUUCCCAGGCAACUGUUUAUCAAAAACACAGGUCUCUGCUAAAGCGUAAGCUGAUGUAUAGGGGCUGACGCCUGCCCAGUGCCGGAAGGUUAAGAUGAUUUGUUAGCUGGACGAAAGUCGAUAACAGCGAAGCAAUGAGUUGAAGCCCCGGUGAACGGCGGCCGUAACUAUAACGGUCCUAAGGUAGCGAAAUUCCUUGUCAAGUAAGUUUUGACCCGCACGAAAGGCGCAAUGAUCUGGGAGCUGUCUCAACCAUAGACUCGGUGAAAUCUUAAUACCUGUGAAAAUGCAGGUUACCCGCGACAGGACGGAAAGACCCCAUGGAGCUUUACUGUAGCUUGAUAUUGGGAUCAAAUUGAGUAUGUAGAGAAUAGGUGGAAGACUUUGAAGUAUAGGCGCUAGCUUAUAUGGAGUCGCCUCUGUAAUACCACCCUUACUUUGUUUGAUUUCUAACUUGCGACCAUUAUCUGGUCGGAGGACAGUGUCUGGUGGGCAGUUUGACUGGGGCGGUCGCCUCCUAAAAAGUAACGGAGGCGCCCAAAGGUUCCCUCAGAAUGGUUGGAAAUCAUUCUACGAGUGUAAUGGCAUAAGGGAGCUUAACUGCGAGACCUACAAGUCGAGCAGAUGCGAAAGCAGGGCAUAGUGAUCAGGCGGUUGAAUAUGGAAUUGCCGUCGCUUAACGGAUAAAAGUUACCCUGGGGAUAACAGGCUGAUACCACCCAAUAGUUCAUAUAGACGGUGGUGUUUGGCACCUCGAUGUCGGCUCGUCACAUCCUGGAGGUGGAUUCGCUUCCAAGGGUUGGGCUGUUCGCCCAUUAAAGUGGCACGCGAGCUGGGUUCAGAACGUCGUGAGACAGUUCGGUCCCUAUCCGUCGUGGGCGCAGGAAAAUUGAGGAGAGCUGAUCCUAGUACGAGAGGACCGGAUUGGACAUACCUAUGGUGUAUCUGUUGUAACGCCAGUUGCAGUGCAGAGUAGCUAUGUAUGGAAAGGAUAAUCGCUGAAAGCAUCUAAGCGAGAAGCCUUCUCCGAGAUGAGUUUUCCCAUAUUGUAAAAUAGUAAAAUCCCUUGUAGACUACGAGGUUGAUAGGCUAGAGGUGGAAGCGUAGUGAUACGUUGAGCUGACUAGUACUAAUAGAUUGAGGAUUUAAUCA